CGGCAUGCCUAACACAUGCAAGUCGAACGGCUCUUCGGAGCAGUGGCGCACGGGUGAGUAACGCGUGGGAAUCUACCCUGAGGUUCGGAAUAACGGUUGGAAACGACCGCUAAUACCGGAUGUGCCCUAUGGGGGCGAAGGGCUUGCCGCCUUGGGAGGAGCCCGCGUCCGAUUAGCUUGUUGGUGGGGUAAUGGCCUACCAAGGCGACGAUCGGUAGCUGGUCUGAGAGGAUGAUCAGCCACACUGGGACUGAGACACGGCCCAGACUCC
rnacentral:rRNA from 1 species